rnacentral:sRNA from 1 species
AUAAUCCCAGCUCUGCCUUUAAUUCACUAACUCAUUAACAUAAUUAUUCUAUGUUGUAUUUAACUUCAUCUGACCAAAUGUUUAUUUUUGAUGAAUUCUUAUGUUUAUGUUUGCUUGGACUUAACCAAUCAGUAUUUAAAUAUGGAUGUUGUUGCAUUAUAACUUUUUCUGAAAUAGUAAGUUUCCUUUAUUUUCAUAUUAACUCAGAUUCGAGUGAGGGUUGAAAAGGAUCCAGAACUUGGAUUUAGCAUAUCAGGUGGUGUCGGGGGUAGAGGAAACCCAUUCAGACCUGAUGAUGAUGGUAUAUUUGUAACAAGGGUACAACCUGAAGGACCAGCAUCAAAAUUACUGCAGCCAGGUGAUAAAAUUAUUCAGGCUAAUGGCUACAGUUUUAUAAACAUUGAACAUGGACAAGCAGUGUCCUUGCUAAAAACUUUCCACAAUACAGUUGAACUCAUCAUUGUACGAGAAGUUUCCUCAUAAGCACUGUGGACAAAAAAAAAGCGGGGAAGACAGCAAGAUUUAUUGGAAGAUACUUGCAGGGGAAAUUAAUAUUUUGACUAUUUUUAUAUAUAAAGAAGAACUCAAAAAAUUAUGUUCAAAUUUGUACAUUAAUGAAGUAAUGGAACUUGUGGUUAGAGGGA